rnacentral:rRNA from 1 species
GAUGAACGCUAGCGGCAGGCCUAAUACAUGCAAGUCGAACGGGAUCCAGCUCAUAGCUUGCUUUGGUCUGGUGAGAGUGGCGCACGGGUGCGUAACGCGUGCGCAACCUACCCUUGUCAUGGGGUUAGCCCGGCGAAAGUCGGACCAAUACCGCACGACAUCAUUGAGAGGCAGCUUUCGAUGUUCAAAGAUUUAUCGGACAACGCUGGGCUGGCGUGACAUUAGCUAGUUGGUAAGCUAACGGAUUACUAAGGCUGGGAUGUCUAGGGGCUCUGAGAGGAGAAGCCCCGACACUGGUACUGGGACACGGACCAGACACCUACGGGAGGCAGCAGUAAGGAAUAUUGGUCAAUGGACGGAAGUCUGAACCAGCCAUGCCGCGUGCAGGAAGACGGCCCUAUGGGUUGUAAACUGCUUUUAUACGGGAGCAAACGUCGGUACGUGUACCGGUCUGAGUGUACCGUAAGAAUAAGGAUCGGCUAACUCCGUG